UACGAAGGGUGCUAGCGUUGUUCGGAUUUACUGGGCGUAAAGCGCACGUAGGCGGAUCUUUAAGUCAGAGGUGAAAUCCCAAGGCUCAACCUUGGAACUGCCUUUGAUACUGGGGAUCUUGAGUCCGGGAGAGGUGAGUGGAACUGCGAGUGUAGAGGUGAAAUUCGUAGAUAUUCGCAAGAACACCAGUGGCGAAGGCGGCUCACUGGCCCGGUACUGACGCUGAGGUGCGAAAGCGUGGGGAGCAAACAGG
rnacentral:rRNA from 1 species